CAGCAGUCGCCACGGUAAUACAGAGGAUGCAAGCGUUAUCCGGAAUGAUUGGGCGUAAAGCGUCUGUAGGUGGCUUUUCAAGUCCGCCGUCAAAUCCCAGGGCUCAACCCUGGACAGGCGGUGGAAACUACCAAGCUGGAGUACGGUAGGGGCAGAGGGAAUUUCCGGUGGAGCGGUGAAAUGCAUUGAGAUCGGAAAGAAUACCAACGGCGAAAGCACUCUACUGGGCCGACAUUGACACUGAGAGACGAAAGGUAGGGGAGCAAAUGGGAUUAGAUACCCCUGUAGUCCCUGUCUCUUAUAC
rnacentral:rRNA from 1 species